rnacentral:rRNA from 1 species
AUUGAACGCUGGCGGCAGGCCUAACACAUGCAAGUCGAGCGGAUGAUGGGAGCUUGCUCCUUGAUUCAGCGGCGGACGGGUGAGUAAUGCCUAGGAAUCUGCCUGGUAGUGGGGGACAACGUUUCGAAAGGAACGCUAAUACCGCAUACGUCCUACGGGAGAAAGCAGGGGACCUUCGGGCCUUGCGCUAUCCGAUGGGCCUAGGUCGGAUUAGCUCGUUGGGGAGGUAAUGGCUCACCAAGGCGACGAGCCGUAACUGGUCUGAGAGGAUGAUCAGUCACACUGGAACUGAGACACGGUCCAGACUCCUACGGGAGGCAGCAGUGGGGAAUAUUGGACAAUGGGCGAAAGCCUGAUCCAGCCAUGCCGCGUGUGUGAAGAAGGUCUUCGGAUUGUAAAGCACUUUAAGUUGGGAGGAAGGGUUGUAGAUUAAUACUCUGCAAUUUUGACGUUAUCGACAGAAUAAGCACCGGCUAACUCUGUGCCAGCAGCCGCCGUAAAAC